rnacentral:rRNA from 1 species
CGCGGUAAUACGUAGGGUGCGAGCGUUAAUCGGAAUUACUGGGCGUAAAGCGUGCGCAGGCGGUUGUGCAAGACAGAUGUGAAAUCCCCGGGCUCAACCUGGGAAUUGCAUUUGUGACUGCACGGCUAGAGUGUGUCAGAGGGGGGUAGAAUUCCACGUGUAGCAGUGAAAUGCGUAGAGAUGUGGAGGAAUACCGAUGGCGAAGGCAGCCCCCUGGGAUAACACUGACGCUCAUGCACGAAAGCGCGGGGAGCAAACAGGAUUAGAUACCCUGGUAGUCCACGCCCUAAACGAUGUCAACUAGUUGUCGGGUCUUAAUUGACUUGGUAACGCAGCUAACGCGUGAAGUUGACCGCCUGGGGAGUACGGUCGCAAGAUUAAAACUCAAAGGAAUUGACGGGGACCCGCACAAGCGGUGGAUGAUGUGGAUUAGUUCGAUGCAACGCGAAAAACCUUACCUACCCUUGACAUGGCAGGAAUCCCGGAGAGAUUCGGGAGUGCUCGAAAGAGAACCUGCACACAGGUGCUGCAUGGCUGUCGUCAGCUCGUGUCGUGAGAUGUUGGGUUAAGUCCCGCAACGAGCGCAACCCUUGUCAUUAGUUGCUACGAAAGGGCACUCUAAUGAGACUGCCGGUGACAAACCGGAGGAAGGUGGGGAUGACGUCAAGUCCUCAUGGCCCUUAUGGGUAGGGCUUCACACGUCAUACAAUGGUACAUACAGAGGGCCGCCAACCCGCGAGGGGGAGCUAAUCCCAGAAAGUGUAUCGUAGUCCGGAUUGGAGUCUGCAACUCGACUCCAUGAAGUUGGAAUCGCUAGUAAUCGCGGAUCAGCAUGUCGCGGUGAAUACGUUCCCGGGUCUUGUACACACCGCCCGUCACACCAUGGGAGCGGGUUUUACCAGAAGU